UUUUUUUUAAAUCUAGAAUUAUUGUUUAUUAAUAUAAUUACUCUUACUUAUCACAAAAAUGGCUGAAUUGUUAUUUACCGCCAUUUAAGUUGACUUUCUUGACCAAUGGAAAUGCGAGUUUAAACAUGAAAUUGAGUCUUGAUGAUUAGAUAAUUGACUCUUAAUAUUUAACAGUGGCUAUACUCGCAUCUUUGUUAUUAGGUGAGUCCAUUGGGUUUGUUAAAGGCAUGGGGCUUGUACUUGGUGUCAUAGGGCUUUUACUCCUUAAGAGGUUCCUUUGGGAAGCUUGGCAAGAUUUAAACCUUAUCAUCUUGAUCAUAGUUGCUUUAUUGUCAUUGGCACUUGGAAUUAAAAAUGAGGUUCUAGGCUGUUGUGAUUUAUAUUUCAUAUCAUGUGGAGUAUGGCCGUGUCUCUAAACAAAGAAAAGUCUCUAGCAAGUACACCUUCAUAGACAAUACAUACAGGAAACUUGUGCAACCUAUGGUAUCUCCAACAUCUACACAUUUAACAACAAGAAUUAAAGCUCACUACAACUAGGAGAUUGGAAGCUUGAUUUUUGACAAAGCUGAUCAAUUAGCUAAGGAGUUUUUUACUGCUGCUGCAAAUAUAAGCAUGUCUUCUUUUGGAAUCUCUUUGCACAGCUUUUUUGAAGCCAAAGGAUGUUUAUAGGAUGGCAUAUUGUCUUAGAGAAUCCAACAAGGAAGAUGUUGUUGAUGCCAGUAGAACCUUGAGAAGGUGUGAAGUUGGUGAUGAUCUUGACGAAGGCAUGUAGCAAAUUAUGCAACAAACCUUGAGAAUGUAUGUUUUCUUUCUUUGUGUUUAGUACUUCUUGUCAUUUUGUUCUCAAUGUAGGCUUUUUCCCUUUGAGAUUGGUGUUGAUUGAACUUCCUUCUCCAGUUACUAGUGGGACUAUGGUUACUGUUGAAGAUCUAAAACAAGAACUCUCCAAAUACCUUUUAGUGUGUGUUUGGUAAAAUUAUUUUUGCCAACUUAUUUUACUAUUCAGCUUAUUUUUGCCACUAUUCAUGAAUCUCACUACACUUUUUUGUACUAUUACUAUUUCAGCUAACUUUUAUCUUUAUUUACAGUAUUUUCAGCAAAAAGUUUUUAAUUUCAACAAAAUAAGCGGAUCCCAAACAAACCCGUAGUGUACAAGGAUUGGCUAUUGUAAAUACUUUUUAAGUGUACUAUUCAAAAAAGGUUUUGUAUAGCAUGUAGUGAUUCCUGUUUCAAAUUUAAAAAUGUAAAGGGCAAUAGACAGACUAGUUGAUUUAUGUUGAUUUGUAUAGUUUUUUUCAUUAUGUUAAAAGAUUAGUUGAUUGGUUGUUGUAAUUUAAUUUGGAAUUGCACAAUUGAGUUUA